rnacentral:rRNA from 1 species
AGUGAACGCUGGCGGUAGGCCUAACACAUGCAAGUCGAACGGCAGCACAGUAAGAGCUUGCUCUUACGGGUGGCGAGUGGCGGACGGGUGAGGAAUACAUCGGAAUCUACUUUUUCGUGGGGGAUAACGUAGGGAAACUUACGCUAAUACCGCAUACGACCUACGGGGGAAAGCAGGGGAUCUUCGGAUCUUGCGCGAUUGAAUGAGCUGAUGUCGGAUUAGCUAGGUGGCGGGGUAAAGGCCCACCAAGGCGACGAUCCGUAGCUGGUCUGAGAGGAUGAUGAGCCACACUGGAGCUGAGACACGGUCCAGACUCCUACGGGAGGCAGCAGUGGGGAAUAUUGGACAAUGGGCGCAAGCCUGAUCCAGCCAUACCGCGUGGGUGAAGAAGGCCUUCGGGUUGUAAAGCCCUUUUGUUGGGAAAGAAAAGCAGCAGGUUAAUACCCCGCUGUUCUGACGGUACCCAAAGAAUAAGCACCGGCUAACUUCGUG